rnacentral:rRNA from 1 species
UACGAAGGGGGGCUAGCGUUGCUCGGAAUCACUGGGCGUAAAGCGCACGUAGGCGGAUUGUUAAGUCAGGGGUGAAAUCCUGGAGCUCAACUCCAGAACUGCCUUUGAUACUGACGGUCUUGAGUUCGGGAGAGGUGAGUGGAACUGCGAGUGUAGAGGUGAAAUUCGUAGAUAUUCGCAAGAACACCAGUGGCGAAGGCGGCUCACUGGCCCGAUACUGACGCUGAGGUGCGAAAGCGUGGGAGCAAACAGG